rnacentral:lncRNA from 1 species
GCUUUAGAGGAUGACAGGUGCUGUGGAGUUGGGAGACUGAGACUGUCAGGAGCGAGGAGGGAUGGCUGUAAUUUUAAAUAGGGGCAUCAUCAGGAUGAACCUUGCUGAACUGAAGCCCCUUCCAUGACACUAAAGUAAGAAGAUAAUUCUGGUCAUUUCAUCCAAGCCCUGCAGAUUGGCAGGUGUUUGGUUCAAACAUAUAUUCAGGACAUGACUUAUUUUGAUAUUUGAGGAGCCCUCUUCUCUCCAUCCCCUCCGGAAAAAAAAAAAAAAAAAAAAAAAAAAAAGUUGAUUUUCCUUGUGAUUCUUCUGGAACUCCGAGGCAACCUGUUUUCCCAAGAACAGGGCACCGAGGUGGUUGCAAGGGUGCGGAGGGAGGAUCGCACCUGUGGGAGAGGCGCGCCGGUCUCUCUCAGGGACCUGUAGCUACACGCAGAAGAUGCUGCCAAUUGCGCGGAGGUCUCUGACGCUUGGUGCUGAGGACACCGUACUAAUUUAAAUGGUAUCAGAGUGAACACGAUGCUACAUGUAGAAUGAAACUUCCCAAGCCCUCACCUGAAGAGAUAAGGCUGAAGUCAUAAACAUCAUACGUGGAAAAGUAUUGCAAACCUGCUUCUCUUCUGUGCUGGGGUCUGUACCAAUGUUUAUUGAACCAAACAAGGUCCCUACCUUACAGAAGAUGCUUCUUGAAGGAUGGCGUGUUAAUCUUCUAAGUAUGUUCUGGUUGGGAGGAUAGAGCACUGUCACAGCUACAGUGAGCACUGUCACAGCUACAGCUAUACCUCUGCAAAGCCAGGAAAAACACGUUCCCUAGGAGAGUCUCUAGCCUUAAUCUGUAGCUGCAAAUAGAAAUGACAACUCAUUUUCUCAAUAAUGAAAUGUUUUUGGGUAGGGCUAAAAGCAGAAUGAACCACCAAAAAGCCCCUUUUGACAUGUUGCCUGUGUAAAGACAAA